UACGUAGGUCCCGAGCGUUGUCCGGAUUUAUUGGGCGUAAAGCGAGCGCAGGUGGUUUAUUAAGUCUGGUGUGAAAGGCAGUGGCUCAACCAUUGUAUGCAUUGGAAACUGGUAGACUUGAGUGCAGGAGAGGAGAGUGGAAUUCCAUGUGUAGCGGCGAAAUGCGUAGAUAUAUGGAGGAACACCGGUGGCGAAAGCGGCUCUCUGGCCUGUAACUGACACUGAGGCUCGAAAGCGUGGGGAGCAAACAGG
rnacentral:rRNA from 1 species